AGUGGAUGGGGAGCAACCUAGUUGUGCGUGUGUAAAGGUAGUGCCAAGAAAAGCGAUGAUCAUGUUGAAAAUCAAUUCCCGGUACCCGAAACCGACACAGGUGGGCAAAUAGAGAAUACUAAGGGGCGCGAGGUAACUCUCUCCAAGGAACUCGGCAAAAUGACCCCGUAACUUAGGGAGAAGGGGUGCCACCGAGAGGUGGUCGCAGUGAAGAGGCCCAGGCGACUGUUUAGCAAAAACAUAGGUCUCUGCAAACUCGAAAGAGGAGGUAUAGGGGCUGACGCCUGCCCAGUGCCGGAAGGUUAAAGAAGUUGGUCAGUUUUAGGAUGAAGCUAGCGACUGAAGCCCCGGUGAACGGCGGCCGUAACUAUAACGGUCCUAAGGUAGCGAAAUUCCUUGUCGGGUAAGUUCCGACCCGCACGAAAGGCGUAACGAUCUGGGCGCUGUCUCGGAGAGAGGCUCGGCGAAAUAGGAUUGUCUGUGAAGAUACGGACUACCUGCAUUUGGACAGAAAGACCCUAUGAAGCUUUACUAUAGCUUGGAAUUGUGUUCGGGCUUCCUGUGCGCAGGAUAGGUGGGAGGCGUAGAAGGUAUUCUUGUGGGGAUACUGGAGCCAACGGUGAGAUACCACUCUCAGGAGGCUAGAAUUCUAACUUAAUUAAGGACAGUUUCAGGUGGGUAGUUUGACUGGGGCGGUCGCCUCCAAAAAGGUAACGGAGGCGUACAAAGGUUCCCUCAGACUGGUUGGAAAUCAGUCGAAGAGUGCAAAGGCAGAAGGGAGCUUGACUGCGAGAAGUACAGUUCGAGCAGGGUGGAAACACGGUCUUAGUGAUCCGACGGUGCUGUGUGGAAGGGCCGUCGCUCAACGGAUAAAAGUUACUCUAGGAUAACAGGCUGAUCUCCCCCAAGAGUUCACAUCGACGGGGAGGUUUGGCACCUCGAUGUCGGCUCAUCGCAACCUGGGGCGGAAGUACGUCCCAAGGGUUGGGCUGUUCGCCCAUUAAAGCGGUACGUGAGCUGGGUUCAGAACGUCGUGAGACAGUUCGGUCCAUAUCCGAUGUAGGCGUGAGAAUAUUGAGAGGAGCCUUCCUUAGUACGAGAGGACCGGGAAGGACGCACCGCUGGUGUACCUGUUAUGAUGCCAAUUGUAAACGCAGGGUAGCCAAGUGCGGAGAGGAUAACCGCUGAAAGCAUCUAAGUGGGAAGCCCACCUCAAGAUGAGUAUUCUGGUGUAAGGUCACGGGAAGACGACCCGUAAAUAGGCACGAGGUGGAAGUGCAGAGAUGUAUGAAGCCGAAGUGUACUAAUAGACCGUCGGCUU
rnacentral:rRNA from 1 species